rnacentral:rRNA from 1 species
AUGAAAGGCAAGGAGUGUAAACCACGUACGAGCGUGCGCAGAAAGCGAAAUGUUUUGCAGCGAGUCAAGCGUAAUACGAUCAAAAGGAAAUGGGUCGAUGCUAAAACUCAAACAGUUCCCCAGAGGGGGCCCCGGGUUGAAAGAGCGAGCUACAUUCUUUCAUAG